UACGUAGGGUGCGAGCGUUGUCCGGAAUUAUUGGGCGUAAAGAGCUCGUAGGCGGCUUGUUGCGUCGUCCGUGAAAACCCGCAGCUCAACUGCGGGCUUGCGGACGAUACGGGCAGGCUGGAGUUCGGUAGGGGAGACUGGAAUUCCUGGUGUAGCGGUGAAAUGCGCAGAUAUCAGGAGGAACACCGGUGGCGAAGGCGUGUCUCUGGGCCGAUACUGACGCUGAGGAGCGAAAGCGUGGGGAGCGAACAGG
rnacentral:rRNA from 1 species